AGAACUUUCACAUAACAUUUUGAUGGACGAGGGUAGUGAUAAACGUGGUUUGGGACUGGACUCAAGUGGAGUUUUCGCCCCGACCAACAUUUUAUCGACCUCAGAAUAGCAGAGCAGAUAGCAAGGGUAUCUUAUGACCAGCAGAAAGCAUGCUAACUUCUCUGUUCGCAUUUGGAACUGUACUUCAUGCUUGUUUUGGGUAGGAUUUUUUUCAAGUUCGCGGAUAAUCAGUGGAGGAAAACUUAAGCUAGAUUUAUUUGUAUUUAUUUUGAAAAGUCAAAGUCACUAUGUUGGGGAAUGAGGGGAUCUAUGCAGCGAAGAAGAGGAAGAAACCCGUCCAGAAAAGUCUGAAGCCUGCUCCAGGUGACGGUGUGAGAAAGACCGUCUGAAUGGGGAGCUGGACCGGCUGACCGGCCUGCUGCCCUUCUCCCCAGAGGUCAGGGGUCGGCUGGAUAAAUUGUUCGUCCUGCGGCUCAGUGUGGGAUACGUCAAGGUCAAGAGCUUCUUCAUGGGGGAAAGUAAAUGUGGACUGUUCCAGCAUCUUCAAAAAAACACAAUCCUUUUUUCAGUUACAUUUUCAUUGACAUUAGAUUAGUCCAGUUACAAUCGCCAUCGCCACGGCAUUGUCCAUUAGCUGUUAUAAAGAGGUACUAUUUUUUCAUGUUCCAUAUUUUUGGGCCGUGGCUGCAUUGAUUUUGCCUUGGCGCAGCGCCCCCCUCAGUGGGAACUGGAGGAACGGACGGACAGCCACUUCUAUAGACGGAGUCAGCCUCUCCGAGGGAAACCUACUGCUGCAGGUAUACAGGGUAUAGUGUGUGUGUGUGUAGGGUGUUUCUGGAUCAAAAAGGGGUUUAGGUGGUGGGUGUGACAGGGGGCGUGGCAAUGAGCGCAGUUGGCCAGUCUGCACAGCUAAAUUGUAGAGAAUUGUAGAGGCGCCCAUCUUGGCUGCGUAGAGAAAUCUUUGCAUUUUAAAGCACAUUUCCUACAAUUCUACACAUUUGCCAUGCAGCUGAGAGAAAAUGUCCCAGUUUUAAAGCAAAUUUCCUGUAAUUCUACAUAUUCUGCCAUGGAGCUGAGAGAGGAUUUUGCAGUUUUUAAAGGUAGUUUCCUGCAAUUCUAUGCAUUUUGUCAUGGCUAAUGCUGUGUUCUUUUGCUCAAACAUUAUAACAAAAUUAA